rnacentral:rRNA from 1 species
CGAGGUAGAUGUUUAUUGGGCCUAAGCAUCCGUAGCCGGCUACGCAAGUCUCCGGUUAAAUCCAUCUGCUUAACAGAUGGGCUGCCGGAGAUACUACAUAGCUAGGGAGCGGGAGAGGUAGACGGUAUUCGGUGGGUAGGGGUAAAAUCCUCUGAUCCAUUGAGGACCACCAGUGGCGAAGGCGGUCUACCAGAACGCGUUCGACGGUGAGGGAUGAAAGCUGGGGGAGCAAACCGGAUUAGAUACCCGGGUAGUCCCAGCUGUAAACGAUGCAGACUCGGUGAUGCACUGGCUUUUGGCCAGUGCAGUGCCGCAGGGAAGCCGUUAAGUUUGCCGCCUGGGAAGUACGUACGCAAGUAUGAAACUUAAAGGAAUUGGCGGGGGAGCAC